rnacentral:rRNA from 1 species
AACCAUGCCCAAUAUGGGAUAAGCCUUUGGAAGAAACAUUUAUUGUUCACAGAGAAGCUCGACAUGGAUUAGCUAGGUGAGGAGCUACAAGCUCACUAAGAUAGCAAUCAGUAGUUGAUCGGAGAGGCCGAUCCGCCACACUGCCAUUGAGAUACAGACUAGACUCCUACGUCAGGAAGCAGUAGACAAUUUUCCGUAAUUUGCGAAAGCCUGACGGAGCAAGACCGCAUGAGGGAAGAAGCCUCUUGGGUUGUAAACCUCUUUUCUCCGGGAAGAAGCUCUGACGGUACCUGAGGAAUCAGCCUCGGCUAACUCCGUGCCAGCACCCCCGGUAAUACGGAAGACGCCACCGUUAUCCGGAAUUAUUGGGCGUAAACCGGCCGCAUGCGGCGAUACCAGUCUGCUGUCAAAGCACGGGGCUUAACUCCGUUAAGGCCGUGGAAACUGAAUAGCUAGAGUGCCGUAGGGGUAGAGGGAAUUCCCGGUGUAGCGGUGAAAUGCGUAGAGAUCGGGAAGAACAUCGGUGGCGAAAGCGCUCUACUGGACGGCA